rnacentral:rRNA from 1 species
GACGAACGCUGGCGGCGUGCUUAACACAUGCAAGUCGAACGUGAUUUUUGUGGAAAUUCUUUCGGGAAUGGAAGUGAAAUGAAAGUGGCGAACGGGUGAGUAACACGUGAGCAACCUACCUUACACAGGGGGAUAGCCGUUGGAAACGACGAUUAAUACCGCAUGAGACCACAGAAUCGCAUGAUAUGGGGGUCAAAGAUUUAUCGGUGUAAGAAGGGCUCGCGUCUGAUUAGCUAGUUGGAAGGGUAAAGGCCUACCAAGGCGACGAUCAGUAGCCGGUCUGAGAGGAUGAACGGCCACAUUGGAACUGAGACACGGUCCAAACUCCUACGGGAGGCAGCAGUGGGGAAUAUUGCACAAUGGGGGGAACCCUGAUGCAGCGACGCCGCGUGAGCGAAGAAGGUUUUCGAAUCGUAAAGCUCUGUCCUAUGAGAAGAUAAUGACGGUAUCAUAGGAGGAAGCCCCGGCUAAAUACGUGCCAGCAGCCGCGGUAAUACGUAUGGGGCGAGCGUUGUCCGGAAUUAUUGGGCGUAAAGGGUACGUAGGCGGUUUUUUAAGUCAGGUGUGAAAGCGUGAGGCUUAACCUCAUUAAGCACUUGAAACUGGAAGACUUGAGUGAAGGAGAGGAAAGUGGAAUUCCUAGUGUAGCGGUGAAAUGCGUAGAUAUUAGGAGGAAUACCGGUGGCGAAGGCGACUUUCUGGACUUUUACUGACGCUCAGGUACGAAAGCGUGGGGAGCAAACAGG